rnacentral:rRNA from 1 species
GAAUGAAGGUUGGACGAGGGAUGAGCUGUCUCCUUUAUGUAGUUUGAAUUUAACUUUUGAGUGAAAAGGCUCAAAUUAUUUAGUGGGACGAUAAGACCCUAUAAAACUUUAUAUAAGUUUAAUUUGGCUUACAAUUUGAGUGAAAAGUAGUUUUAUUAGGCUUAUAUUUCGUUGGGGAGAUGUAGAUAUAAUGUGUAACUGUCUAUUUAAUUUAAUAAUUAUAAUUAGUGUGUGAUCCUUCUUUGUGGAUUAAAAGUAUAAGUUACUUUAGGGAUAACAGCGUGAUUUUCUUUGAGAGUUCUUAUCGACAAGAGUAGUUGCGACCUCGAUGUUGAAUUAAAAUUUCAGUUAGGUGUAGCCGUCUAGCUGGUAGGUCUGUUCGACCUUUAAAAUUUUACAUGAUUUGAGUUCAAACCGGUGUGAGCCAGGUUGGUUCUAACUAAA